ACCUACGGGGGGCAGCAGUGAGGAAUAUUGGUCAAUGGGCGGAAGCCUGAACCAGCCAAGUCGCGUGAGGGAAUAAGGCCCUACGGGUCGUAAACCUCUUUUGCCGGGGAGCAAGGGCCGGGAUGCGUCCCGGCCCGGAGAGUACCCGGAGAAAAAGCAUCGGCUAACUCCGUGCCAGCAGCCGCGGUAAUACGGAGGAUGCGAGCGUUAUCCGGAUUUAUUGGGUUUAAAGGGUGCGUAGGCGGGCUUUUAAGUCAGCGGUAAAAAUUUUGGGCUCAACCCCGUCCGGCCGUUGAAACUGGGGG
rnacentral:rRNA from 1 species